rnacentral:rRNA from 1 species
GACGAACGCUGGCGGCGUGCUUAACACAUGCAAGUCGAACGAUGAAGCCUAGCUUGCUAGGUGGAUUAGUGGCGAACGGGUGAGUAAUACGUGAGUGACCUACCUUUGACUCUGGGAUAAGCCUGGGAAACUGGGUCUAAUACCGGAUACGACCAAUCUCCGCAUGGGGUGUUGGUGGAAAGCGUUAUGGAGUGGUUUUAGAUGGGCUCACGGCCUAUCAGCUUGUUGGUGAGGUAAUGGCUUACCAAGGCGACGACGGGUGGCCGGCCUGAGAGGGUGACCGGCCACACUGGGACUGAGACACGGCCCAGAGUCCUACGGGAGGCAGCAGUGGGGAAUAUUGCACAAUGGGCGCAAGCCUGAUGCAGCGACGCCGCGUGAGGGAUGACGGCCUUCGGGUUGUAAACCUCUGUUAGCAUCGAAGAAGCGAAAGUGACGGUAGGUGCAGAGAAAGCGCCGGCUAACUACGUG